CCUUCCCGUCGGAUCUGGCAGAGGGGAGGGCAAGGCCGCCGCUUCGCUAACACGGCCACCACCACCGCAGCCUGGCCGCCGAUGGCCGCUACCUCCCCUCCAGCCGGAUUUGGCAGAGGAGA
rnacentral:pre_miRNA from 1 species